GAAGGUUCUGUCAAGGAGACGAACCUCGUGAAUGAAACAGUCAGGUUUGCCAUGGAGUAUACUGAUGCAAGUCCUAUCGAUGAGUAUGGGUGAAAACUUCAACAACGCAGCUGGGCUUCUACCAAAUCCUACCGCUGAUCCUCAAACUGGAAUGCGGGUAGGAUUAAUAAACUCCAUACUACUCAUUCAUGGGCGUUCCUCGAAGUCAAUGUUAUUCCACAGUAUAAUCAACUGGUAAGGAAUCCAAACCUGAAGUGAUCGUUGGCAUCCGAGAUUCUGGAAGAUAUGCAGCUGAAUUGCCAGUUCAUUCAUAGUGUAUUGAGUACUGAUAUGGAAGCGCUUCAAAAUUUAACUGCUGAAUGUGAUUUGGAUUCAAAACAGGGGUCUGAUUAUGGUG